AGAGUUUGAUCCUGGCUCAGGAUGAACGCUAGCGACAGGCCUAACACAUGCAAGUCGAGGGGCAGCGGAGAGGUAGCAAUACCUUUGCCGGCGACCGGCGCACGGGUGAGUAACACGUAUGCAAUCCACCUGUAACAGGGGGAUAACCCGGAGAAAUCCGGACUAAUACCCCAUAAUAUGGGUUCUCCGCAUGGAGGGUCCAUUAAAGAGAGCAAUUUUGGUUACAGACGAGCAUGCGCUCCAUUAGCCAGUUGGCGGGGUAACGGCCCACCAAAGCGACGAUGGAUAGGGGUUCUGAGAGGAAGGUCCCCCACAUUGGAACUGAGACACGGUCCAAACUCCUACGGGAGGCAGCAGUGAGGAAUAUUGGUCAAUGGUCGGCAGACUGAACCAGCCAAGUCGCGUGAGGGAAGACGGCCCUACGGGUUGUAAACCUCUUUUGUCGGAGAGUAAAGUACGCUACGUGUAGCGUAUUGCAAGUAUCCGAAGAAAAAGCAUCGGCUAACUCCGUGCCAGCAGCCGCGGUAAUACGGAGGAUGCAAGCGUUAUCCGGAUUUAUUGGGUUUAAAGGGUGCGUAGGCGGCACGCCAAGUCAGCGGUGAAAUUUCCGGGCUCAACCCGGACUGUGCCGUUGAAACUGGCGAGCUAGAGUGCACAAGAGGCAGGCGGAAUGCGUGGUGUAGCGGUGAAAUGCAUAGAUAUCACGCAGAACCCCGAUUGCGAAGGCAGCCUGCUAGGGUGCGACAGACGCUGAGGCACGAAAGCGUGGGUAUCGAACAGGAUUAGAUACCCUGGUAGUCCACGCAGUAAACGAUGAAUACUAACUGUUUGCGAUACAAUGUAAGCGGUACAGCGAAAGCGUUAAGUAUUCCACCUGGGGAGUACGCCGGCAACGGUGAAACUCAA
rnacentral:rRNA from 2 species